rnacentral:rRNA from 1 species
UACGAAGGGGGCGAGCGUUGUUCGGAAUUACUGGGCGUAAAGGGCGCGUAGGUGGCGACUCUAGUCAGAUGUGAAAGUCCUGGGCUUAACCUGGGGACUGCAUUUGAUACUGGGUUGCUUGAAUUCGGGAGAGGAUAGCGGAAUUCCCAGUGUAGAGGUGAAAUUCGUAGAUAUUGGGAAGAACACCGGUGGCGAAGGCGGCUAUCUGGACCGACAUUGACGCUGAGGCGCGAAAGCGUGGGGAGCAAACAGG